AUUGAACGCUGGCGGCAGGCCUAACACAUGCAAGUCGAACGGUAACAGAAAGCAGCUUGCUGCUUUGCUGACGAGUGGCGGACGGGUGAGUAAUGUCUGGGAAACUGCCUGAUGGAGGGGGAUAACUACUGGAAACGGUAGCUAAUACCGCAUAACGUCGCAAGACCAAAGAGGGGGACCUUCGGGCCUCUUGCCAUCGGAUGUGCCCAGAUGGGAUUAGCUAGUAGGUGGGGUAACGGCUCACCUAGGCGACGAUCCCUAGCUGGUCUGAGAGGAUGACCAGCCACACUGGAACUGAGACACGGUCCAGACUCCUACGGGAGGCAGCAGUGGGGAAUAUUGCACAAUGGGCGCAAGCCUGAUGCAGCCAUGCUGCGUGUAUGAAGAAGGCCUUCGGGUUGUAAAGUACUUUCAGCGGGGAGGAAGGGAGUAAAGUUAAUACCUUUGCUCAUUGACGUUACCCGCAGAAGAAGCACCGGCUAACUCCGUG
rnacentral:rRNA from 1 species